AGCUGUGUUUGUCAUUUUAUUACCACAUGUAUGGUAAGUCCAUAGGGACAUUGGAGGUGAUAGUCUCUUUUUCGGGAACAAAUCAGACCAUCUUUACAAAGUCAGGUGAUCAUGGCAACCAAUGGUAUUAUAAGAAGCUGUACAUUCAGCCUGCAAGUAAUUUACAGAUUAUGUUUAACGGUAUUGAUGGAGACGAAUUCCAAGGCGACAUCGCAUUAGACAACAUUAUGUUGUUCACUGGUGAAUGUGGAGCACAAACCAACGAGGAAAGUACACUAACACAUCCGCCUUAACACGGAUGAUGACAGCAUUGGAUGGAAAUCAGAAAGAUUUAAUGUGAUGCAAAACAUGAACAAUUGUACUGAAAACAAUAACACUAAUAUUACUAUAUCUUAGUUACAACACAAAAUCUUAUUUCGUUAAUUAUAUAUUUAUCAUAAUAUAUUUUCAAAUUACUCAUACCCCGGUUUAAUGAAAAACGGCAGCUAUUCAAAAAAAACAUUUUGUGGUCGUCUGUCACACUUUACAUCUGUUCUCCUCCAAGACCAGACACAGUUUCAUAUGUCGCUAUUAAUGUUAAGUCCCUUUUGGUCAUAUAGCUCCUCAUGUGAUUUAUAGAUUAACUUGUCCUUUUCCAUAUCGGCCGAUGUAUCAUUCCAAGACUCCCAUAUUAGCCCAUGGCGCUAGUCGAGGGCUCAUAUGGGUCGAGGGAUGAUACCAGGGUCCAUAUGGAAAAGAAAAUUUUAUCAUCUAUUUAUCACAUAUUAUACAAAUGGUUUUAAAACCUGGCAGUAAUAUGACUAGGGCAAAUAUGUGCUUAUUUUAUAUGCAAAACCCAAUAUCUUUGUUAUAAGUAUGGGAUAAUAUCGGAUUAUUACAUGGCAUUUUUCAUAUCAGAUGUAUUAAUAUCAGCCCAAGGUUAAAUAUCAGCCCAAGAGCCGAAAUCUCGAGGGCUGAUAUUGACCGAGGGCUGAUAAUAUAUCUGAUAUGAAAAAUGACAUGUUAUGAUCUUUUUAUUAUAUGCUUCAACCAUGGAGGAAAAAUAGUAGUUUAAUAUAUUGAUCAUUUUAAGUGGUUCCCAAGUAGAAGUUCAAAAAGAGAAAGUUUACGGACCUCGGACACGAAAUGUAGAACAUCCGCUAUGAAAUCUGUCUGUCAUAUGCCUCAACAGAGGAGAAAAACAACAGUAUGAUAUAUUUUUAUAUUGACGAUAAAAAAAUCAACAAAACAUAAUGAACACUGUUUGGAAAAGUCAACAUUUGUAAAGUAACUUUCUAAAUAAUGCUGGAAACUUUGAAAAAAAUAUUUAUUGUAUCAUUUGUUUUUUUGUUUUUUUGUUUGGUUUUUUUUUUGCAUUUUACAUAAUGUUUUUUCCUGUUUCCUAAUAAUUGUUUUGUACCCUACUUUGUAUUUUUUUUUUUUUUUUUCACUGAAAACGUACCAUAGAGGUGUAUUUUCCGGAAUUUGCCGAGUAACGCCGGAAUGCUAUGCGAUAACGUUACGGAAAUGCAUGUGAUAAUAGUCGGAAGCAUGUGAUACAUUUUUCAUAUCAGCCCGCUAAACACCAUUUCGGAAAACACGGAAUUCACGUAAAUUUAAUGCCAUUAUCAUACUGUAAACUGUAUAAGUUUUCUACUCUAAGUAUAUCAUAAAUAUAGAUUAUAACAUGACAUUUUUAAUUUCAGACCCCUUAUCAGCCCUAGGUUAAUGAUAUCAGCCCGAGCGCCGACAGGCUCGAGGGAUGAUUUUGACCAUGGGCUGAUAAGGGGUCCGAUAUGAAAAAUGACAUGUUAUGUUCUUUUUAUCAUAUACUUAAGCAGAAGACAUACAGACAAGAACUUUUUUUUAAACUUUGAAAAAUGCAUUUACUGUAUUAUUUGUUUUGCAUUUUUUAAUAAUAAACUUUCCUGUUUCUUAA